AGCGGGUCCGGCAGCCCUGGCCUUAUCCGGGCGUCGGGGCUUCGGCGGGCAUUAGCAGCAGCUGAGAGGCCUGUGAGAGGUUCUGGGGCGCCACCGCAGUCAUUCUGUUCAGCGGGUAUAGGACUUUCAUUCAUGGGACUGUCCCUGAUUCCCAGCCAUCACGGGGAGGCUCUACCUUCAAGUGUUAUCCAGAAUCAGACCACCUCACCUCAUCUACUGUGGCCUCCCUGGGAUGGGCCUGGCCUCCUUCAGUCUGUUCUCACCACAAAGCCACCAGAAGGAUCCUUUUAUUUUUAUUGAUUGAUUGAUUGAUACGGGGUCUGACUCUGUCAGCAGGCUGGAGUGCAAUGGCACGAUCUCACCUCACUGCAACCUCUGCUUCUUGGACUCAAGCAAUCCUCCCACCACUGCCUCCUGAGUAGCUGGGACCACAGGUGCACACCACCACACCCAGUUAAUCUUUUUGUAUUUUUGGUAGAGAUGGAGUUUCACCAUUUUGCCCAGGAUGGUCUCAAACUGUUAAGCUCAAGCAAUCUACCCACCUCAGCUUCCCACAGUGCUGGGAUUACAGAUAUGGGCCACCACGCCCAGCGCCUUUUAAAAGUGCAGUUGGAUCAUAGCAUUUAUCUGCUCAUAACAAUGGCUUUUGCUUCCCCGCUCACUCAAAAGAAAUUCCUUCUUCACUGCAGAACUGCCCCUCCUACCACAGGAUGUUUAGGGUUCCUGGCUGCAACCCCCAAAGGUCCUAAUGGUGCUGGUCAUGGGGGGAUCCACACCAUUGUGACAACGAAAUAUGCCCACAUGAUGCCCAAGGCUUCAGUCCUGGCCCCACCCUUCCACUGUGUCACUGUGCUGGGUUGGUUUUCUCAUCUAAAACAUGGUGAUGGGGAUAACAAACUUGAAAGAGUGUCAUGCAAAUGAGGUGUCCAGCAUCGGGAGGUGUCCAGCAUCAGGAAUAUUAAUAAAGGGUCCCCAGUGAUACCGGCCGAGGCAUAAGCAAACUCCACUGCUCCUAUUAUCUGCACCUGAAGAUUUACACCUUGCAUAUAUGUGGAUCCUUUUCCAAUUUCUUCUGUAUUAAACAUUCUCUCCUGUAUCAGAAAGUCAGGUUAUGGGUUGGAGCUACAAAUCUGCCCUUCGAUCCAUCCCCCCCAUAGAGUGCUUUGCUGGCCGUAAGGAUGGACUGCAGACAGCAGCUCCCUUUGAGGCCGCCCCCAGCUCCUCUCUUUCAUAGCGGGCUGUGUGAAUCAAGCUCCAGCACUUCUACUGUGUGAUCCUAGAUCAGUGUCUGAACCUCCCAGAGUUUCCUUCUCUGCAGAUGGAUGUGCCGAUAGCCCCUGCUACACAGGGCUGAGCUGAAGGGGAAAUGAGACAGUGAGAGCAAAGGGAGCCUGGUGCCAGGCAUGUACCGGGCAUUCAGAAGUGGCUAACCAUGGUAGCCUGUCCCUAGUCUAAAGCCCUGGGCACCAUGCCCCCACCUCCACCCCCUCAGUUCCUUCCCGCUUGACUUCAGGAGCUGGAUUCCCUCCUCUUGCCAGAAAAGUCCAGCUCAUACUGCCUACGGCACAAAUUCUCACACCAACCAUUAGGUUCCUGCCAGGUCCUGGCCAGUCCCAACACCAUGAAGCAGGAGGGCAGGCGAAUUUUGAGCAGAGAGACUGUUUCUGUUUGGCAUCAGCCUCUGCCAAUGCCCAGGAAAGCUGGAAUGCUCUCCUACAAGAGUGACAGUUCCCCACA
ensembl:lncRNA TOMM22-DT TOMM22 divergent transcript